AAGUGCAAAGCACUUUGAAGAGAGAGUUAAAGAGGACGUGAAACCGAUAAGGUGGAAACGGAUAGAGCUAGCGUAUCCAGUCUGUAUUCAGCUGUUCUGGCUUGAGUUGCCGGCUCUUCGGUCCAGAGAUAUGGUCGAUUGGUCGGUUCUUCUUGGGCAGGCGCAGUGCAUUUGCAGGCAGAGUGCGCUGAGGCGUGUGAGGCAGUGGCUUGAAGCGAGCUUUGAGGAGACUCUGCGGAGUUAAACCCUGGCAUGUCGAGAGCUAUUUGUUUUGCAUGUACAAGGACAUGGCUUCCGGGCCUUGGCUGAGUUUGGUUAGUCGCUGGUAACGGUCGCAUGCGACACGUGCCAACGGUUGAUUAGGCUUGGUCUGGGUUCUCUUGUCCGACCUCGGUGUAAAAGCUAGUCAUCUAUCCGACCCGUCUUGAAACACGGACCAAGGAGUUUAGCGUAUGCGCGAGUCAAUGAGUGGAAAACUCAAAGGCGUAAUGAAAGUAAAGGUCUCGUCAGAGACUGAUAUGCGAUAUUGUACACCUUGGUGUGCAUUAGCAGCAUAGCCCCAUCCUGAUCGCUUGCGAUGGGGUGGAGGCAGAGCGUAUUCGCUGAGACCCGAAAGAUGGUGAACUAUUCCUGAGCAGGAUGAAGCCAGUGGAAACACUGGUGGAAGUCCGAAGCGGUUCUGACGUGCAAAUCGAUCGUCUGAC
rnacentral:rRNA from 1 species